rfam:Xiphophorus maculatus strain JP 163 A Contig188.52, whole genome shotgun sequence.
AGAGGUCAGCUGCUUUGACAAUGUUGCACUACUGUACCAUGCGCUAAAGCAGUGCAAUAGUAUUGUCAUAGCAUUUGGCCUUUGU